UGAGGCGUCGCCAAGUGGUAAGGCACCGGGUUUUGGUCUCGGCAUACCUAGGUUCGAAUCCUAGCGCCUCAG
rnacentral:tRNA from 2 species